AUGAAACAUACACAUAAAAUAUUUGUUCUUUUUUGGUACAGCAGAAGCGCAGGAGCAUGUUUGAAUUCAACUUGAUUUAGAAGUGACUUUUUGCUCAUGUUGAUGACUGAGAGUCCACCAAUCAAUAAUACUGCACUUUUCCUAUCCUUUUAUAUUAUGAUCAUUUUACUUUUUUAGAAAAGCGAUUCGUUUUGAAUGAGUCCGAGGUUGUCUCAUAUCGGUCUCAAGAUAAUGAAAUGUCCAUAUUGUUCAGCACUAGUUUUAUGGAGGAGACUGGAACAGAUUCAUGCCAUCUUCAUUCAUGUUGACAUGGAAAGAUGAUUUGAGAUACAAGGGUUUCGGGUUACCAUUACCAUUACCGGAGCUGAUGACCUCAUGAAGGUUGCGGGCGUGUUGCAGCCUAUCCCUGCUGCCAAUAGGGUACACUCUCAAGUGGUUGCCAGCCAAUCGCAGGGCACACAUAGACAACCAUUCAAGCUCACGAUCACACCUAGGGACAAUUUAGAGUGUUCAACCAAACUCAUGUGCAUGUUUUUGGAAUGUGGGAGGAAACCAGAGUACCCGGAGAAAACCCACGCAGGCACGGGGAGUACAUGUAAACUCCACACAGGAAGGCCAUAACCCGAAAUCGACCCCUGCACUAUGCCGCCCUAAAGAAUUAUACAUCUUGGAUAAAAUAAUUAAAAUUCACCCGAUGUUUUUUUUGUUUUUAUUUCUAUUAAAGGGCUGUGAUGUCAACAAUGAAAAGAUGAAUUUAUCUG